rnacentral:rRNA from 1 species
AUGGCUCAGGAUGAACGCUGGCGGCGUGCUUAACACAUGCAAGUCGAACGGGCUUAAGACACCGCUGCGGAUUUAGCUUGCUAUGAAGCGGCACCGUUUAAGUUAGUGGCGGACGGGUGAGUAACGCGUGGGCAACCUGCCUUUAUCCGGGGGAUAACAGUUAGAAAUGACUGCUAAUACCGCAUAAGCGCACGGGAGGGCAUCCUCCUGUGUGAAAAAACUCCGGUGGAUAGAGAUGGGCCCGCGUUAGAUUAGCCAGUUGGCGGGGUAACGGCCCACCAAAGCGACGAUCUAUAGCCGGCCUGAGAGGGCGACCGGCCACAUUGGGACUGAGACACGGCCCAAACUCCUACGGGAGGCAGCAGUGGGGAAUAUUGCACAAUGGGGGAAACCCUGAUGCAGCCGACGCCGCGUGAGUGAAGAAGUAUUUCGGUAUGUAAAGCUCUAUCAGCAGGGAAGAAAGAGGACGGUACCUGCACAAGAAGCCCCGGCUAACUACGUGCCAGCAGCAGC